rnacentral:rRNA from 1 species
AUUGAACGCUGGCGGCAGGCCUAACACAUGCAAGUCGAGCGGAUGAAGGGAGCUUGCUCCUGGAUUCAGCGGCGGACGGGUGAGUAAUGCCUAGGAAUCUGCCUGGUAGUGGGGGAUAACGUCCGGAAACGGGCGCUAAUACCGCAUACGUCCUGAGGGAGAAAGUGGGGGAGCUUCGGACCUCUCGCUAUCAGAUGAGCCUAGGUCGGAUUAGCUAGUUGGUGGGGUAAAGGCCUACCAAGGCGACGAUCCGUAACUGGUCUGAGAGGAUGAUCAGUCACACUGGAACUGAGACACGGUCCAGACUCCUACGGGAGGCAGCAGUGGGGAAUAUUGGACAAUGGGCGAAAGCCUGAUCCAGCCAUGCCGCGUGUGUGAAGAAGGUCUUCGGAUUGUAAAGCACUUUAAGUUGGGAGGAAGGGCAGUAAGUUAAUACCUCGCUGUUUUGACGUUACCAACAGAAUAAGCACCGGCUAACUUCGUG